CUUGGUCAUCCGGGAGGAUCUCAGAGUAGAGCCGCUGCUCCUCCACAUCGAGAGGAGCCAGAUGAGGUGGCUGUGGCAUCUGAUUCGGAUGCCUCCCGGACGCCUCCCUGGUGCGGUGUUCCGGGCACGUCCCACCGGGAGUAGACCCCGGGGACGACCCAAUACACCUGGCCUGGCCAACCCGCGGCUCGCGAGCCUCAUGCGGCUCUUUAACUAGUUUCAUGCGGCUCUUCAGGAGCUGUCACAUGACAUGUGUCAAAAAUGCUUGGCUGGCGCUGUCAUUCACUCCCCCUACAGCUAGAUGGCACACUGACCAUGUAAGCCUGUUUGAGUGACGUCAAACGAGCGACGAGAGAAUCUUUGGUGUGACAUCAUUUGUGUUGUAAACAAUUUCCGUCAAGUUACCUCUUGAAAUGGCAGGGAAAAAAAGCACAGCCAAACGAAAAUAUGAAGUAGAACACAGGACGUUUUUGCCAGAGUGGGAGAGUUUAUAUUUUUUUGUUAAACGUAAUGGCAAGCCGAUCUGCCUUAUAUGUCACGCAGCAUUAGCGCAUUUCAAAGCUUCAAAUCUUCAGCGUCACUUCAGCUCACUCCACCCUAACAUCGAACAGGAAUUUCCAAAAGGGACUGAACUUCGCAAGAACAAGUUGGUCGCUUUGAAAAGCAAGGCAGAAAAGCAGGUGCAGUUUUUCAAAAAAUUUACAAAACACUCGGAGACCGUAACGCUUGCAUCAUAUCAGCUGGCUUGGAAGCCAGACUGUUUGAAAGCCCCGCUCGUCACAGAUGAGGCUGCGGCUGAGUUGGAGAUGAUCGACCUUUGUGAGGAGGAUCAACUGAAAGCUUUUUUAAGGGAAGGGACCGUUGAGUUCUGGAAAAGUGUCCCAAUUGAAAAAUACCCCAACAUCAAACGAGCUGCGCUUAAGAUACUGUCCAUGUUUGGGUCAACGUACGUCUGCGAGUCUGUGUUUUCUACCCUGAAACAUGUGAAAUCAAAGCAUCGAUCUGUUCUGACUGACACUCAUUUGAAAGAAUUGCUUAGAGUGGCAACAACAGAAUACAAGCCAGAUUUGAAGAGGAUUGUUCAAGAUAAGUAAUGCCAGAAGUCUCACUAAGCAGCAUAUAACACAGAAAAAAAAGUGGCUCUUAGUCUCUGACUAGUUGGCCAGCCCUGCAAUACACGCUGGAGAGACGACGUCCUUCGGCUGGCCUGGGAACGCCUCAGGAUCCCCCCGGAAGAGCUGGAUGCAGUGGCUGGGGAGAGGGAAGUUUGGGCGUCCCUGCUAAAGUUAAUGCCCCCACGACCCAACCCGGAUAAGCGGUAGAAAAUGGAUGGAUGGAUAUUACAGAGUCACACAAAGCCUUGUGUGUAAUAAACUAUUUUUGAAAAUUUUCAUUUUUUGUGAGAAUUUCAACAUACCUGUUGUACUCACACGAGCAUCUGACAUUUCUUCAUUGCCAUGCCGAGCUCUAUAAUGCCUCAGUAUUUAUGAUGAUGUGGUUCUGUUGGCUUCAUCAAGCUGUGACCGCCAACUCUCACUGGAGCAGUUUGCAGCCUAGUGUGAAGCGGCUGGGAUGAGAAUCAGCACCUCCAAAUCUGAGACCAUGGUCCUCAGUCAGAAAAGGGUGGCACCGGACUAUUGCGAUAUUAGCCAUUCGAACUGAGGACUCUGCAUCUUUUUGCACAAUUGUUGUUUGUUGUUGUUUUUGUCAAUGUCUUUAUGUCUCCAAAGUGUUCUGUAAAUUGACUGUCUGUUGUACUAGAGCGGCUCCAACUACCGGAGACAAAUUCCUUGUGUGUUUUGGACAUACUUGGCAAAUAAAGAUGAUUCUGAUUCUGA